CUUACUUCUCGGCCUUUUGGCUGAGAUCAAGUGUGGUAUCUGUUCGUAUCAGUUUAAUAUCUGAUGCGUGCUCUCUCAGGCAUUAUAUUCAAUGGAAUUUUGGAGCUGGGAGAUGGAAUAGGAGCUUGCUCCGUUCACUCAGUGCAUCCAGCCUGUAUUGCAGUACUUCUGGGAAGGGUGCACCCCCU